CCCAGUUCGGAUUGCAGUCUGCAACUCGAGUGCAUGAAGCUGGAAUCGCUAGUAAUCGCGGAUCAGAAUGCCGCGGUGAAUACGUUCCCGGGUCUUGUACACACCGCCCGUCACACCAUGGGAGUCGGGAAUGCCCGAAGCCGGUGGCCCGAUCGAAAGAAGGGAGCCGUCGAAGGCAGGCCGGAUGACUGGGGUGAAGUCGUAACAAGGUACC
rnacentral:rRNA from 1 species